rnacentral:rRNA from 1 species
GACGAACGCUGGCGGCGUGCCUAAUACAUGCAAGUAGAACGCACAGUUUAUACCGUAGCUUGCCACACCAUAAACUGUGAGUUGCGAACGGGUGAGUAACGCGUAGGUAACCUGCCUGGUAGCGGGGGAUAACUAUUGGAAACGAUAGCUAAUACCGCAUAAUAUUAAUUAUUGCAUGAUAAUUGAUUGAAAGAUGCAAUUGCAUCACUACCAGAUGGACCUGCGUUGUAUUAGCUAGUAGGUGAGGUAACGGCUCACCUAGGCGACGAUACAUAGCCGACCUGAGAGGGUGAUCGGCCACACUGGGACUGAGACACGGCCCAGACUCCUACGGGAGGCAGCAGUAGGGAAUCUUCGGCAAUGGACGAAAGUCUGACCGAGCAACGCCGCGUGAGUGAAGAAGGUUUUCGGAUCGUAAAGCUCUGUUGUAAGAGAAGAACGGGUGUGAGAGUGGAAAGUUCACACUGUGACGGUAUCUUACCAGAAAGGGACGGCUAACUACGUG